UGGGGUCGGGGCCGGGCGGACACGGUCGCGAUGAACACGGUGCUGUCGUGGGCGAAUUCGCUGUUCGCCUUCUCACUGAGCGUGAUGGCAGCCCUCACCUUGGGUUGCUUCAUCGCCACAGCCUUCAAAGACAGGAGUGUCCCAGUGCAGCUCACAUCUCAUGGAUCAUGCUGAAAAAUGUAGAAGACUUCACUGGACCUAAAGAAAGAAGUGAUCUGGGAUUCAUUACAUUUGAUGUAACUGCUGAUCUAGAGAACAUAUUUGAUUGGAAUGUUAAGCAGUUGUUUCUUUAUUUAUCAGCAGAAUAUUCAACAAAAAAUAAUGCUCUGAAUCAGGUUGUCCUACGGGACAAGAUUGUUCUGAGAGGUGAUAAUCUGAAACUGCUGCUGAAAGAUAUGAAGACAAAGUAUUUUUUCUUUGAUGAUGGAAAUGGUCUCAAGGGAAACAGGAAUGUCACUUUGACCCUAUCUUGGAAUGUUGUACCAAAUGCUGGAAUUCUACCUCUUGUGACGGGAUCAGGACACGUGUCUGUCCCAUUUCCAGAUACAUAUGAAAUAACGAAGAGUUAUUAAAUUAUUCUGAAUUUGAAACAA